UCGGGAAUUUUGGGCAAUGGGCGAAAGCCUGACCCAGCAACGCCGCGUGAAGGAUGAAGUAUUUCGGUAUGUAAACUUCGAAAGAAUAGGAAGAAUAAAUGACGGUACUAUUUAUAAGCUCCGGCUAACUACGUGCCAGCAGCCGCGGUAAUACGUAGGGAGCAAGCGUUAAUCGGAGUGACUGGGCGUAAAGGGCAUGUAGGCGGUUAUAUUAGUCUGAUGUGAAAGACCUAGGCUUAACCUGGGACAUGCAUUGGAAACGGUAUAGCUAGAGUAUGGGAGAGGGAAGUGGAAUUUCCGGUGUAGCGGUGAAAUGCGUAGAGAUCGGAAAGAACACUCGUGGCGAAGGCGGCUUCCUGGCCCAAAACUGACGCUGAGGUGCGAAAGCAUGGGGAGCAAACAGGAUUAGAUACCCCUGUAGUCCCUG
rnacentral:rRNA from 1 species